rnacentral:rRNA from 1 species
UCAUACGGGAGGCAGCAGUGGGGAAUCUUGGACAAUGGGGGCAACCCUGAUCCAGCCAUGCCGCGUGAGUGAUGAAGGCCUUAGGGUCGUAAAGCUCUUUCGCCUGUGAAGAUAAUGACGGUAGCAGGUAAAGAAACCCCGGCUAACUCCGUGCCAGCAGCCGCGGUAAUACGGAGGGGGUUAGCGUUGUUCGGAAUUACUGGGCGUAAAGCGCACGUAGGCGGAUCGGAAAGUUGGGGGUGAAAUCCCGGGGCUCAACCCCGGAACUGCCUCCAAAACUAUCGGUCUAGAGUUCGAGAGAGGUGAGUGGAAUUCCGAGUGUAGAGGUGAAAUUCGUAGAUAUUCGGAGGAACACCAGUGGCGAAGGCGGCUCACUGGCUCGAUACUGACGCUGAGGUGCGAAAGUGUGGGGAGCAAACAGGAUUAGAUACCCUGGUAGUCCACACCGUAAACGAUGAAUGCCAGUCGUCGGGUAGCAUGCUAUUCGGUGACACACCUAACGGAUUAAGCAUUCCGCCU